rfam:Lactobacillus delbrueckii subsp. bulgaricus ATCC 11842 complete genome
GAUAAAGUAAAUUUCUAACCUAAGACGUGGGUGGCGUAAAGCCUCAAUACAAUCCCGCCGAGGCCAGAAGAUAAUGAAGAUUGUUAAACUCUCCAUGUCUUUCUUGGCAUGGAGGUUUUUAGGCCUUGUA